rnacentral:rRNA from 1 species
UGUGGUGAUGAUGGCCAGAAGGACCCACCUGUUCCCAUGCCGAACACAGUCGUUAAGCUUCUGAGCGCCGAGGAUAAUGCAGGGUUUCCCUGUGUGAAAGCCGGACGUUGCCACGCU